rnacentral:lncRNA from 1 species
UUAGGUAGACCGAUUUAGAAGAAUUCAGCUUUUUCUUCUGUUCCUUGUCCUUUUUUUUUUUUCUCAGAUUCUCAAUGUAUAGUACGAAGAUAUGAAAGUAGGGGUGAAUUCUGGCCUAUUGUUUGUUUUGUUUUUGUAUGAAUUUUGUCAGUAUAUAUGACUGGCUUCUUGUUUGUUUUGUUUUUUUAAGUUUUGGUUUAUACCCAAAUCGCAAAUAUGUUUUAUUGUGUCUAAGUGCAUAAUAAAAUCAUGUUGGAGCCUUUGUAUGAAUUUAAUUUGUAGUGUAAUGUUAGUUGCUUUGGAUUACUGGCAGUUUCCUGUCAUGUUAUUGAUGUAAUUUCUGUUUAUGUAGAUCUCUGGUGCUGCACUUUUUUUUUUUUUGUUGGAAGUCUUUCAAUCAGUUAGGGUCUUCUUUUCAUAAUGCUGUUAUUGUUUUCUCA